rnacentral:rRNA from 1 species
UACAGAGGGUGCAAGCGUUGUUCGGAAUUAUUGGGCGUAAAGAGCUCGUAGGCGGUUUGUUGCGUCGGCUGUGAAAUCCCGAGGCUCAACCUCGGGUCUGCAGUCGAUACGAGCAAACUAGAGUGUUGCAGGGGAGACUGGAAUUCCUGGUGUAGCGGUGAAAUGCGCAGAUAUCAGGAGGAACACCGGUGGCGAACGCGGGUCUCUGGGCAACAACUGACGCUGAGGAGCGAAAGCGUGGGGAGCGAACAGG